rnacentral:rRNA from 1 species
CACGUAGGGGGCAAGCGUUGUCCGGAUUUAUUGGGCGUAAAGAGCUCGUAGGCGGCUUAGUAAGUCGGGUGUGAAACCUCCAGGCUCAACCUGGAGACGCCACCCGAUACUGCUGUGGCUAGAGUCCGGUAGGGGAGCGUGGAAUUCCUGGUGUAGCGGUGAAAUGCGCAGAUAUCAGGAGGAACACCAGCGGCGAAGGCGGCGCUCUGGGCCGGUACUGACGCUGAGGUGCGAAAGCGUGGGGAGCAAACAGG